UACGUAGGGGGCAAGCGUUGUCCGGAUUUAUUGGGCGUAAAGAGCGUGUAGGCGGCCUGAAAGGUCAGCUGUGAAAACUCGAGGCUCAACCUCGAGACGUCGGUUGAAACCAUCUGGCUAGAGUCCGGAAGAGGAGUGUGGAAUUCCCGGUGUAGCGGUGAAAUGCGUAGAUAUCUGGAGGAACACCGGUGGCGAAGGCGGCAUCCUGGACCAACACUGACGCUGAGGAGCGAAAGCCAGGGGAGCAAACGGG
rnacentral:rRNA from 1 species